GGGUGGUCUGAAGGUAGUGAGUUAUCUCACUCAAUUGUUCACAGUCAGUUACAGAUUGAACUCCUUGUUCUACUACUUUCCCCCUUCUCACUACUGCACUUGACUAGACAAAA
rnacentral:Y_RNA from 1 species